rnacentral:rRNA from 1 species
UUCCGGUUGAUCCCGCCGGACCCCACUGCUAUCGGGAUAGGACUAAGACAUGCUAGUUGAGCGCUUCCAGCCAAUACGGGAGCGCAGCGCACAGCUCAGCAACACGUGGCUAAUCUGCCCUUGGGAUAGGAGCACCCCCGGGAAACUGGGGCUAAUUCCCAAUAGGUGAAGAACUCUGGAAUGAGUCUCCACCAGAAAAGACGUUUACGUUAUGCUCGUAGGCGUCGCCCAAGGAUGAGGCCGCGACCGAUCAGGUUGUUGGUGAGGUAAUGGCUCACCAAGCCUUUUACCGGUGCGGGCCGUGUGAGCGGGAGCCCGGAGAUGGGCACUGAGACAAGGGCCCAGGCCCUACGGGGCGCAGCAGUCGCGAAAACUUUGCAAUACACGAAAGUGUGACAGGGCUAUCCCGAGUGCCAUCCGCUGAGGAAGGCUUUUACCCAGUCUAGAACGCUGGGGGAAUAAGGAGAGGGCAAGUCUGGUGUCAGCCGCCGCGGUAAUACCAGCUCUCCGAGUGGUGUGGAUGUUUAUUGGGCCUAAAGCAUCCGUAGCUGGCUAAGUUAGUCCUUUGUUAAAUCCACCGAAUUAAUCGUUGGAUUGCGGGGGAUACUGCUUGGCUAGGGGACGAGAGAGGCAGACGGUAUUUCCGGGGUAGGGGUGAAAUCCUAUAAUCCCGGGAAGACCACCAGUGGCGAAGGCUGCCUGCUAGAACGCGCCCGACGGUGAGGGAUGAAAGCUGGGGGAGCGAACCGGAUUAGAUACCCGGGUAGUCCCAGCUGUAAACGAUGCAGGCUAGGUGUUUGGACGGCCACGUGCCGUUCUAGUGCCGCAGGGAAGCUGUUAAGCCUGCCGCCUGGGGAGUACGAUCGCAAGAUUGAAACUUAAAGGAGUUGGCGGGGGAGCACCACAAGGGGUGAAGCUUGCGGUUUAAUUGGAGUCAACGCCGGA